AUUGAACGCUGGCGGCAUGCUUUACACAUGCAAGUCGAACGGUAACAGGCCGCAAGGUGCUGACGAGUGGCGAACGGGUGAGUAAUGCAUCGGAACGUGCCCAGUCGUGGGGGAUAACGCAGCGAAAGCUGUGCUAACACCGCAUACGAUCUAUGGAUGAAAGCGGGGGACCGUAAGGCCUCGCGCGAUUGGAGCGGCCGAUGUCAGAUUAGCUAGUUGGUGGGGUAAAGGCCCACCAAGGCGACGAUCUGUAGCUGGUCUGAGAGGACGACCAGCCACACUGGGACUGAGACACGGCCCAGACUCCUACGGGAGGCAGCAGUGGGGAAUUUUGGACAAUGGGCGCAAGCCUGAUCCAGCAAUGCCGCGUGCAGGAAGAAGGCCUUCGGGUUGUAAACUGCUUUUGUACGGAACGAAACGGCCUGGGUUAAUACCCUGGGCUAAUGACGGUGCCGUAAGAAUAAGCACCGGCUAACUACGUGCCAGCAGCCGCAGUAAGAC
rnacentral:rRNA from 1 species